CUUUCUGAGAUACAAUUCGAGCACAGAUUGAGAUUGUUCACAGUUUCGAGUCUUUUGAGAGCUGGCAUAGACUUGAAAUGACCACACUUCCAAAGCUUGUGUGAGGCCUUCUUGCACACGGUACAUGAAUCUUGACUUUUGCUAUCUUGUGAGAUCAAAUACCUGGAACUCGUCCCACGUCGGCAUAUCUGUCUGUUCACGAGCCCAAAGCGUCUGAGUCUCUGCAUCCAUCUUGCAUAGCACUUCAUGGAUAAUCCAGGGAUCUCUUCCGAAUGCCUGGAGGGCAUCAAUGGCAGCCAGCGUCGUCGUGGUGACAUCGUAGAUCUUCCUCAAUUCAUCUGCACGUGGAGUCUUUGCUGCUGGAAGUUUCUUCACCCGCUCAAUGUGCUCUUUGAUGACAGUUCGUCGAUUUUCAAAGCGAUUGCACAGGGCAUUCCAUGCGAUGGCAUAAUUUUCUCCCGUCAGCAUGAGAUGAUCUAUCACUCCUUUGGCCUGUCCAGCUAGUGAUGUCUUCAAGUAAUGUAACUUCUGCGUGUCCGUAAGGCGAGGGUUUGCAUCAACGAGACUUACGAAUAAAUCUCUGAAGGAAUGCCAUUCAGCGUAGGCUCCGCUAAACGUCGGCACUUUGACUGGUUCCAACCCGUCAUCAAUAUCUCUGAGAAACGCAUUUUGCUCCUCAAUUUCCCUUUCACGAUCGUCAUCAUUUUCAGCCGCGUUUAUGAUGACAUCCUGCACCUUGUUGUAAUUCACUCGAAUUCUGUCACAUUGUUCGAGUUGCCUCUCAAGGUGGAUGCGCGCGCCAUGUCUCUUGAGCAUCUCUUCACUUUGAUAUUGAGCGAUGACCCCCUUCACACUAGUGAGUUGCCCCUUGUAGGCACUUCUGCUCUUCACAUUGGACAUCUUGAGUUGUGGACUUCAGGGAUGUCUUCUCACUGGUUGUCGUCUUUCGAAGGACCACGUAUGGGGAGGAUUUACCUUUAAAGAUA